UUUUUUACUUUUUUUUUUUUUACAUUUUUUUAGGUUUUUUUUAUUUUUUUUUUAUUAGAGCCAUUAACCCUUUCCUUCCCCACUAUUUUUGCUGCAAUUGUUACCAUGCAGCGGUAUACGGCUGAGGAGGCAUGUUCCAAAUGUGGCCCUUUUGGCCCCAAACAAUCUGACAAACCCAUGCAUGUGGGGUAUCAAUGUACUCAGGAGAUCAAAAACAAUUACUAUCACAAACUUUGACAAGGGUUGGUGGUAGGAUUAGUGCAUGGAAAGGGUUAAGCUAUCAGCAUCUAAAAUACCCUGGGGUGUCUAGUUUUCAAAAAUAUAUGGUUUGGUGGGGUAAAUUUAAUUUCCUGGCUUCAAAGAUGCCCCAAAUACCACAUGGAGACAGAAUUACCAGAUUCAGAGAAAAAUGGUUUUGAAUUAGCAAAACGCUACUUGUACUUAUUGCCCCAUAACGUGUAGAAGAAAGCAAAAAAACAUAAAAACAUUGGGUAUUUCUAAACUCGGGACAAAUAGUAGAAUCUAUUUAGCAGGUUUUUUCAGUAGUUUUUUAUGAUGAAUAAAAGAUUUUUCAAAUAAAA